rnacentral:rRNA from 1 species
AGAGUUUGAUCCUGGCUCAGAAUGAACGUUGGUAGCGUGGAUUAGGCAUGCAAGUCGAGCGACAAGGUGCUUCGGCACUGGAGGAGCGGCAAACGGGGUAGUAAUACAUCGGAACGUACCCUCUUGUCCGGGAUAGCCACGGGAAACUGUGGAUAAUACCGGAUAAUCCCGAAAGGGCAAAGGUCAGCCGCAGGAGGAGCGGCCGAUGCGAUACCAGCUAGUUGGUGAGGUAACGGCUCACCAAGGCAUAGACGUCUAGGGGGUGUGAGAGCAUGGCCCCCACCACUGGGACUGAGAUACUGCCCAGACACCUACGGGUGGCUGCAGUCGAGAAUCUUCGGCAAUGGGCGCAAGCCUGACCGAGCGACGCUACGUGCGGGAUGAAGGCCCUUGGGUUGUAAACCGCUGUCAGAGGGGAUGAAAGCGCAAGCUUGACAGAGCCUCAGAGGAAGCGCGGGCUAAGUUCGUGCCAGCCGCCGCGGUAAUUC